CGAAAGCCUGACGGAGCAAUACCGCGUGAGGGAGGAAGGCUUUUGGGUUGUAAACCUCUUUUCUCAAGGAAGAAAAAAAUGACGGUACUUGAGGAAUAAGCAUCGGCUAACUCCGUGCCAGCAGCCGCGGUAAUACGGAGGAUGCAAGCGUUAUUCGGAAUUAUUGGGCGUAAAGCGUCCGCAGGUGGUAUUUCAAGUCUGCUGUCAAAGACCGAAGCUUAACUUCGGAAAGGCAGUGGAAACUGAAAAACUAGAGUACGGUAGGGGUAGAGGGAAUUUCCAGUGUAGCGGUGAAAUGCGUAGAGAUUGGAAAGAACACCAGUGGCGAAGGCGCUCUACUGGGCCGUAACUGACACUCAGGGACGAAAGCUAGGGGAGCG
rnacentral:rRNA from 1 species